CGCGUGUGCAUCGGGACUUAGUCCCAAACGGGGUUUUUAAACGUGGGAGAUGAGUUCUUUGCUCUGAUCAGUUACUCAGAAGGUGCCUGAAUGUGUGGGGGUGGGAGCGUGGGAGGGGGCUGCCUCCUCUUUCUCCUCCUUCCUUUUGGCUCUCCCCCUCCUUUCUUCUCCCUCCCUCCCUCUCCCCUCACCUCCCCUCUCCUCUCCCUCUAUUCCUCUCUCAUUUCCUCUUUCUUUCUCUUCUUCUCCCUCUCUCCUUCAGCAUCCCCCCACCCUCUUUUUCUCUCUCCCCCUCCCUCUCUUUCCUCCCUCUCAUCCCCUCCCUCUCUCCCCCACCCUCUCUCUUCUGUCUCUCCCUCCAAGUCUGGCACUGAACGCGAACUGUUUUGCUUUGCUCCGGGAAGAGUGCAGACACAUAACGUGAAAUCCCGAGCUUUUUGCGUGGUGCAUUUAAAAUGCUUCCUUAUUUAUAUUACCCUCAUUCCCUCACCACCCCCCACCCCCUCACCAGUCCUUCCAAAUUUCCCUAGAAAUCUAUGUAAAGCAUGCGGAGGGGAAAACAUUUGCACAAAAAGUGAAGGAGCUCGCCAAGGAGUUCCCGUUUGGGUGGUCAGACCUGUCCUGACACCCAGAGGUCUGCAUGAGGGAAGGCCACUGAAGGAGGAGUUCUGAAAGGCCACAGGUGAUGAAGAGCUUGGAUGAAUGAACUUAGAAGUCCCAGGAAAAUAGCAAAAAUUUCAUCUCCUGAAGAAAUUUGAAGAGUUUUUUGGAGAUUCUUUUAAAGGCGAAAUUUUUCUUCUUUAGGUAAGAAAACGUUUUCUAUUGUUUAUCCAUGGGUUGAAAAGAGCAUUUCAACUAGACGAAAGAAGUAUCAUGUACUGAAACUUUGCUUAUCUUAACUGAUGUAAAACGUCAUGAAGAUGAUAGAAAGCAGGACUUUUAAUUUAAAUAAAACAAAAGUAGUUAGAAAUUUUUCAUUUAAAAAAGAUUAAUUUGUUGGGGAAAAAAUGAGACAGACCCUUUUUUUGCACUUUCUCAUAGACCGAAUAAGAGGAUUCCCAUGAGUCAUCUUUUAAAAAUAUUUAAGACAUAACCAAAUUAAAAUAAAAGUUGUGAUUCUGGCACAGAGUUUUAAAAAAUAUUUACCAAAUCAAAAACAAGAGAAUUUUCAGACAUUUAAAAUAUUCCUAAACAUAGAUGUAAACUAAUGUGAUAAAGAAACUAUUUUGAUAAAUUUGAAAGACUGGUCAUUGUUUUAAAAGCAGGCCCAUGAAUUAAAGUUAAUUAAGAUUUGUGCAGUAACAGGGAAGCAUAAACUUUGGUAUAUACUCACAUGCUGGGAAAAUACUGUUUUGUAGGGUCAGAAUGCAAAUAUAAAUAAUUUGUUUAAUCAGGCAAGAACCUGUACUUUGUGUGUGAACUCUUUUCAGUGUUUGGUAAUUGUGUUAUGUUGAUAACAUAUGAAAAGGAGACAGACUAACUUUUUAAGCCUAUUAGAAUAUUUGCAACUCAUUCUAUUUUUGGCAAUAAUUCUAUUAGUGCAGUUUAUUUCCAUGAACAGUAUAAAAUACAUAUGUGAAAAUCAGAUUUUUGAAAGCAGAUUAAAAGUGCAAUUAAAUUGUCCAAACAAACAUUUUAAAUACUUUGAAGUAUUUUAUGAAAUUAAUAGAACAAAACAAGUAGUUUCAGAAAUUAUAGAAUCUGUUGUAAAUAUGCAAAUUCGCACAUUCUAGCUUUGUCACCAAUGCCACAUUUGGGAAAAGAAAUACAUUGCAAUGUUUGUCUUCUAUUAACAUAUAUAUAUUCUUAAAAGUAUACAAAAUUUUUCCUAAUUUUAAACAUAUUAAUACUGUUACAUAUAAAUAUUUUUUAAAUCUUAGUAUAAAGUUUAGGGUUUUAAAAAAAAAUACGUUAAAAAUUCAUGUGGUGAAAUAGAAU
rnacentral:lncRNA from 10 species